rnacentral:rRNA from 1 species
AUACGGAGGGUGCAAGCGUUAUCCGGAAUCGUUGGGUUUAAAGGGUCCGUAGGUGGUUAAUUAAGUCAGAGGUGAAAUCCUGCAGCUCAACUGUAGCAUUGCCUUUGAUACUGGUUAUCUUGAGUUAUUAUGAAGUAGUUAGAAUAUGUAGUGUAGCGGUGAAAUGCAUAGAUAUUACAUAGAAUACCGAUUGCGAAGGCAGAUUACUAAUAAUAUACUGACACUGAGGGACGAAAGCGUGGGGAGCGAACAGGAUUAGAAACCCUAGUAGUCC